GUGAGUCAUCGAAUCUUUGAACGCAACUUGCGCCACUUGGGUAACCAAGUAGCAUGUCUGUUUGAGUAUCACAAACCCCUUUAUUCCAAGUUUGGAAUAGAUUUGAAGGCUUUAGAGAAUGAAUUUCUCUAAUCCUUUGAAAUAAAGUUUGUUGGUGAUUGAUUUGGUCACUACCAUGUGCUAAAGGCUUUAUGUCUUGUCAUGUUAAUGAUUAUAGUCAACCCAUUGUCAAGUUAACUACUUGACAAAACUACCUUUAAUGGUCUCAAAUCAGGCAAGACUACCCGCUGAACUUAAGCA
rnacentral:misc_RNA from 1 species